CAGACAGGACACUCAUCACUAUCAGACAUGUUACCAGGUCUACAGGACAGACAGGACAGACAGGACACUCAUCACUAUCAGACAUGUUACCAGGUCUACAGGACAGACAGGACAGACAGGACACUCAUCACUAUCAGACAUGUUACCAGGUCUACAGGACAGACAGGACACUCAUCACUAUCAGACAUGUUACCAGGUCUACAGGACAGACAGGACAGACAGGACACUCAUCACUAUCAGACAUGUUACCAGGUCUACAGGACAGACAGGACAGACAGGACACCCAUCACUAUCAGACAUGUUACCAGGUCUACAGGACAGACAGGACAGACAGGACACCCAUCACUAUCAGACAUGUUACCAGGUCUACAGGACAGACAGGACAGACAGGACACCCAUCACUAUCAGACAUGUUACCAGGUCUACAGGACAGACAGGACAGACAGGACACCCAUCACUAUCAGACAUGUUACCAGGUCUACAGGACAGACAGGACAGACAGGACACCCAUCACUAUCAGACAUGUUACCAGGUCUACAGGACAGACAGGACAGACAGGACACCCAUCACUGUCAGACAUGUUACCAGGUCUACAGGACACUCAUCACUAUCAGACAUGUUACCA